GACGGAGGGUGCAAACGUUGUUCGGAAUCACUGGGCAUAAAGCGCACGUAGGCGGCUAAGUCAGUUCGGUGUGAAAGCCCCCGGCUCAACCGGGGAACUGCAUUGAAUACUGCUUAGCUUGAGGACGGUUGGGGUGAGUGGAACUCCUGGUGGAGCGGUGAAAUGCGUAGAUAUCAGGAGGAACACCAGUGGCGAAAGCGGCUCACUGGACCGUAACUGACGCUGAGGUGCGAAAGCUAGGGUAGCGAAC
rnacentral:rRNA from 1 species